GUAUUCGGAUCCAGAUGCGGUACCAGUAACUAAGAUCGGGUCUGGAUCUGGAUAUCCAGGUUCCGAUCCAAAUCUAUCUGUUAAUAGGUCUAUCCAGAAUCUCAUCCAAAAAGACUUAUCAAAAAAUAUUAUUUUAAUUUUUUGAUCCUGUAUAAAUAUCCAAGAUCUUCUUAGUACAUAAUCGAUGCAAGACUAAACAAAUACCUAUAUAGAUCCUCAUAUAAUUAAUUCAA
rnacentral:lncRNA from 1 species